AAGAAGAGUACAGCAACUAUUUGCACCUCAAUAACUCACUGCCAAUUUUUACCCCUACAUAACCACAAGGAAAUCACACCCAUGCAACAUUUUAGUGGUUGCUAUGGGACUAACUGUGACAUCAACACAGCAUCAUGUAAGAGCAAUGAUAGGACAGGGGAAGCAACAAAGGGGGACUGUUAGCUGCUUGAAGAGGGUAAGAAUUAUAACUAGCUAGAAAAGCCUUAUGAGAGAAUUUUCAGGGUUAGCAGAAGAUUUAAAAUUUUUUACCCAACAAUCUGAUAAAAAGAAUGGGAUGGCCUAGAAGUACUUAAACUGAGCAGACUGGCUGAAGAUCUUGUGGCCACCUAAUAGCCAGAUCCUGAUGGGAAUCUAGGAAUAUGUGACAAUUUAUCUAAAAAACUAGGAAGGAACAAAGAAGAAACCCAGGUGAGAGAAAGAUACGUUUUACAAUGAAGAUGUAAAUGAUCUGAAAAAGAAUAAUGAUGAGGAUAAAAUAUGUCAGACUAUUGGAUCACUGAGAGAUGUCAACCAAAAGAAACACUAGAGAGUAAGUCUAUCAGUUUUUCCAGCAUCUUCUCAGGAGUUGCUAUUUGAAAUACAUAUUGGAUUGUUAUUAUGCUUCCUAUUAUAUAUGAAAACCUUUCCACUAUAUUCAAAUUUCAAGAGGAGCUUGAAGAGCAUGAGGGCCCACAUAAAAGUAUAAAAAAAUGAGUAUAGACUUAAACUCUAUCAAAAACAGAUAUCUAGAACACAAAUUUCUUUUUACCUUUGGCUUUUACAUUAAACAUCUCCAAAUAAAGAAUCAAAUCUCAGUGUUUUAAAAAAGAGUUACUUUUCAUUGAUACAUAUAUUUUAUAUAUUUGUGGGGUACAUGUAUUUGUUCU